AUUGAACGCUGGCGGCAUGCCUUACACAUGCAAGUCGAACGGCAGCACGGGUGCUUGCCCCUGGUGGCGAGUGGCGAACGGGUGAGUAAUACAUCGGAACAUGUCCUGUAGUGGGGGAUAGCCCGGCGAAAGCCGGAUUAAUACCGCAUACGAUCCACGGAUGAAAGCGGGGGACCUUCGGACCUCGCGCUAUAGGGUUGGCCGAUGGCUGAUUAGCUAGUUGGUGGGGUAAAGGCCUACCAAGGCGACGAUCAGUAGCUGGUCUGAGAGGACGACCAGCCACACUGGGACUGAGACACGGCCCAGACUCCUACGGGAGGCAGCAGUGGGGAAUUUUGGACAAUGGGCGAAAGCCUGAUCCAGCAAUGCCGCGUGUGUGAAGAAGGCCUUCGGGUUGUAAAGCACUUUUGUCCGGAAAGAAAUCCUUGACUCUAAUACAGUCGGGGGAUGACGGUACCGGAAGAAUAAGCACCGGCUAACUACGUG
rnacentral:rRNA from 1 species